AUACGGAGGAUCCAAGCGUUAUCCGGAAUCAUUGGGUUUAAAGGGUCCGUAGGCGGGUUUGUAAGUCAGUGGUGAAAGUUUUCGGCUCAACCGGAAAAUUGCCAUUGAUACUGCAGGUCUUGAAUUAUGGUGAAGUGAUUAGAAUGUGUAGUGUAGCGGUGAAAUGCAUAGAUAUUACACAGAAUACCGAUUGCGAAGGCAGAUCACUAACAAUAUAUUGACGCUAAGGGACGAAAGCGUGGGUAGCGAACAGGAUUAGAAACCCCUGUAGUCC
rnacentral:rRNA from 1 species